rnacentral:rRNA from 1 species
AUUGAACGCUGGCGGCAUGCUUUACACAUGCAAGUCGAACGGUAACAGGCCGCUUGGUGCUGACGAGUGGCGCACGGGUGAGUAUUGCAUCUGAACGUGCCCAGUCGUGGGGGAUAACUACCCGAAAGAGUAGCUAAUACCGCAUCCGAUCUAUGCAUGAAAGCGUUGGACCGUAAGCCCUUGCUCGAUUGGAUGGGCCUGCGUGGCAUUAGCUAGUUGGUGGGGUAACGUCACACCCAGCCAACGAUCAGUAGGUGGUCUGAGAGGACGACCCGCCACGCGGGUACGGAGACACGGACCAGACUCCGACGGGAGGCAGCGGGAAGGUAGAUUGGUCGAUGGAAGGAACUCUGAACCAGCCCUGCCGCGUGCAGGAAGACAGCCGGUGGGGACGUUAUCUGCUUUUAUACGGGAAUAAACCUUUUUACGCGUAGGAAGAAGAAUGGACCGAAGGAAUAAGGACCGGCUAACUCCGUG